rnacentral:lncRNA from 1 species
UAGGGUACUAGGAGCACAAAUGCUCCAGUGUGAAACUGACUUCUCCUGGGGAUGGUAGGGCUUCCUCUGUGGUCCAGUAAUGGUGACGUCCCUAACUGGCAGCCUGGGCCCCAGCGUCAGGAGUUGGGCUCAUGGUGACACAAAGGCUCCUUGGAUGCAAGAGCACAAACACCUCAGUGUGAAGGUUUCCUCUGGAGAAGGAGCAUUUCACUAUCCAACAAAAUGUUUAUUCCAGGAUUUUGGUUGAUUUCAUUAAUCAGAAAAUGCAUUUUAGAAGAAAAUGAGUCUCUGAUCUCAGGAUUUGUCUGAUCUCUCACGAUUGGGAUGGCCCAUUCCUAGAGGGGUAAGGUCCCACGUUGUUAGGAAAACUCAUUUUUAGCCAGUUAUGAAGUCUUAUAUUCUACAAAGAAAAAAUAGGUGAAGGACAGAGAAAGGAAGCAGAGGAAAGAUGAGAAAAUAACAAAUAUUUUUUAAAAAGGGAGAACAAUCCUGGAAAACUGAUAUAGGCCAUAUUACUCCGAAGUCAAUACAUCAGUAGGGAGAAGACCUGGAAAACACUGCUAGACCAACUCAAAAUUACAAAGUUUUCCAGAGCUUAUAUGUCUUCUAAGCCAUAUGUCUAUGUCUGCAGGAAUGUAGACAAUUCAGAGGCUUUGUUCCCCAUAAUUUGGAACUUUUCUUCAGAUUUGACCAAGUCGGGUAGAGAUGAUCAAACCUAAUGGGAAAAAGACUGAAACAACAAAAACAGAAACAGGCAAACACAACCAGUAGCUCUGGUGGCCUUUACCUCAGGCUUUGAUGACAGACAGAGGAACCAACAAUCUAACCUGAUGCCUGCCUCUCCCCACGCCAGUGCUGAGGAGCUCCUGCAGAGAAAGCCUGCUCUUCCAGCCCUUGUAUUCAGGACAGGUGCCGGGUGGUCCCUCAAGACCCUUUUUCAGCAGUAAAUCCUACCUGCUUUCACUGAGUUCUCACUAAGUUUAUUUGGUUUAAUCUAGGUUGUCUGAGGUUCCACAACUCAUAACUGAUUUUGUGUUCUAUUUCUGGCCAGCAACUUCCUUGACAUUAUGGAAACUUGAGUUGGGUGGAGUUGUCAGAUUUGAUUUAUUGGCUAUUUUGUUUCUCUUGAAUACGACAGGAGAAGGGAAGCAACAGCUCAUAUCUCCUUGGCUUACCUUCAUACAUAUUAGGGCAUAGUCAUGGGUAAGUAGGUCUUUCAGCAGUAAAAGGAACUCCUGUGUCUGUCCUGAGUUAAGCACAGUGACUAUAAUUUUGACACAGGUAAUACCUCCCACCCACCCUUAUAAGAACCAAGGCUUCUGAUAUGUAGGCUUAUUACAGCCCUAGCUGCUGUGCCUAUGUGUAAAGUGGCAGGCUUUUAUUUACACUAAAUGUAUUUCAGAAUUAUAGAAGCGCCUUCAGAGAAAUCUUAAUUCAACAUGGUUUUAACAUUUGUAUGGAGUGACAGAAGAAAAACAAAACUUUAAUUCUCCAUUAGUCAGUUUUUUCAGUUGGUCACCAAAUUUGGCAUUCUGUGUAUACACUAGGAAUAUUUAGUCUUAGAAGAAAUUUUAACACAAAAUAUUACCAGGUUAAUGAAUUUAUUUAUAAAAUAUUUUAAAUCUAAGGUGCUCCUGCACUGAUAGGUUUAUAGAGACUAAUGGGCACUGACACAAAUUUAAAAUUUAAAAACUCGAGAAUAACUAAAUUAAAAAAAAAAAAUCAGGCCAGGUGUAGCGGCUCA